UACCACUUGGAAACAGGUGCUAAUACCGGAUAACAACAUGAAUCGCAUGAUUCAAGUUUGAAAGGCGGCGCAAGCUGUCACUUUAGGAUGAGCCCGCGGCGCAUUAGCUAGUUGGUGGGGUAAAGGCCUACCAAGGCAAUGAUGCGUAGCCGAGUUGAGAGACUGAUCGGCCACAUUGGGACUGAAACACGGCCCAAACUCCUACGGGAGGCAGCAGUAGGGAAUCUUCCACAAUGGACGCAAGUCUGAUGGAGCAACGCCGCGUGAGUGAAAAAGGUCUUCGGAUCGUAAAGCUCUGUUGUUGGUGAAAAAGGAUAGAGGCAGUAACUGGUCUUUAUUUGACGGUAAUCAACCAGAAAGUCACGGCUAACUACGUGCCAGCAGCCGCGGUAAUACGUAGGUGGCAAGCGUUGUCCGGAUUUAUUGGGCGUAAAGCGAGCGCAGGCGGAAUGAUAAGUCUGAUGUGAAAGCCCACGGCUCAACCGUGGAACUGCAUCGGAAACUGUCAUUCUUGAGUGCAAAAAAGGAAAGUGGAACUCCAUGUGUAGCGGUGGAAUGCG
rnacentral:rRNA from 1 species